AUGUUGGAAGUGCUCCGUGUUACGUGU
rnacentral:piRNA from 1 species